rnacentral:rRNA from 1 species
GCUGAAACUCGCCUACAUGAAGCUGGAGUUACUAGUAAUCGCAGAUCAGAAUGCUGCGGUGAAUGCGUGCCCGGGUCUUGUACACACCGCCCGUCACACCACGGGAGUUGGAGACGCCCGAAGCCGAUUAUCUAACCUUUUGGAAGAAGUCGUCGAAGGUGGAAUCAAUAACUGGGGUGAAGUCGUAACAAGGUAGCCGUAUCGGAAGGUGCGGCUGGAUCACCUCCUUUCUAAGGAGA